rnacentral:rRNA from 1 species
UAUGUGAUCGUCUCUCGCAUAUCAAUAAGCGGAGGAAAAGAAACUAACAAGGAUUCCCCUAGUAACAGGCGAGUGAAGCGGGAAGAGCUCAAAUUUGAAAUCUUAAAGGGUUUCCCUUUACGAAUUGUAGUUUAAAGAAGUGUUUUCUGUUGAGGUUUUGGUAAAAGUUCUUUGGAAUAGGACAUCAUAGAGGGUGAGAAUCCCGUAUUUGACCUUUACUUUCAACUUUGUGAUACACUUUCAAAGAGUCGGAUUGUUUGGGAAUGCAGUCCAAAAUGGGUGGUAAAUUUCAUCUAAAGCUAAAUAUUGGCGAGAGACCGAUAGCGAACAAGUACCGUGAGGGAAAGAUGAAAAGAACUUUGAAAAGAGAGUUAAACAGUACGUGAAAUUGUCAAAAGGGAAGCGUUUGACACCAGUGUUGUUUUUUCUGAAAAUCAAUUAAAGAACUGUUUAUGCUAAGCUUGUUUAGACUUUAUCAGCUAUCUGUUUAGUUUUGAGCUUUUCUUUAAUGCACUUUUCAGUUAACAAGUCAACAUCAACUUUCUUUUGCUGUAAAAAAGCUCGAGGAAGGUGGCUUGAGAUUCGUCUUAAGUGUUUAUAGCCUCUUGCCUAUGCAGUCGGAGAGAUUGAGGUCUGCAGCGUAGAUCCUUCGGGGCUAAAUGCAUUUGUGCUAAGUUAUAGCAUUUUAUAGACAACUUGUUGACUAUGAUUUGUCUUGUAGCUUACUCGCUUAUGUUAUUUUACCUACGCUUAGGAUGUUGAGUAGCGACAUACGCAC